GGGAAAGAGGGAGUCGCACUUAGGGCUAGAAUUAUAUUUCUCUUGGUCAUAUCAGUCGUGUGGAGGGACGGUUUCCGCGAAGUAUUAGGACUUAAGUCCGAGCUUUUUAGCCUGUUACCCGGUACAUUACUAUUUAAACAUUUAUAUUGCAAUGAUUUGGGAUCAAAUGAACGACCGAAGUCACAAAGAUAACUACAAAGAUCCUCGUUACAACUUGGUAUGGGCGCACGAUGCAAACGGAGUUAAUCUAGGAAGACGCUAGUCAAUUUAUUGUAUCUUAAAUUACAAUCCGUAACAGGACCACAAUUACACUUGGGAUGUUUAUCAUUUGAGUGAUUAAUAUUAGUAUUUCGUGGAGCCGUCGAACAAAUUUCUUUAACCAUAUUUCAAAGGCUCCUCGCUUUUCCAUUUAUGUUGCUGUACUUCCCUUAAUAAAAAAAUUGCUGGGUAGAUUUCUGGUUGCUUAAUUAAAAAAAAAUCUGGUCGAUUGUUUUGCAUUUGAAGGCUUGAGCUUUUGCGCCGUCUACUGGACAAUGAAAAUACUACAGCCAGGAUUUACUGCAACUUUCUUUGGGCUACAAGUACGUUUCUCGGAGAGGAUGGGAGCUGGCACUGGAGAGGCCAGGGGCGUCCCGCGUCUCGGCAGAAAGGAAUGAAAACGCACCCUGGCCACAAGAGCUGUAGUUUUAUUUAUUUAAGUAUUUAUAUUUAUUUUUACGACGUCCAAAUAUCCGGUGAGCUCCAGUUUAAAGGGCUCAAAUACAGUGCAUGCAGCAAUCAGCUACAUUGAGACCGAGCUCGUGAAGACAGUUUGAAUGACACGUGUGAGACAGAACUGGACAUCUAGAUAGAUGCGAGAGAGAGAAUUGGGGAGGAAUAUUUGGACGUGGUUUACUACUCCUCUGGGAGAAUUUUGGGGGGUCGGGGAUGCAGGUACCUUAGGCUUCUCCCCAGGCAAAAGGCAUCUUUCACAUGCGAGCAACCCCGAGCUCCACGUAAGGAGCGAAAGACGUUUGAAAAAAUAUAUAGUUUUGGAGAGGGGGAGGGCAUUUAGAUUCUGUUUCAGAAAAGAAACUCAUGAAAAUACAGGAGAAAACCUACUGCAUUUGUAUUCCCACAGGAAAAAAUAUUUUAAAGAAAGAAUUCCUACAAAGAAAAUAGUUGGUUAUUUCCUGCCAGCUCUACCAAUUCUGGGUGGGAAGGAAAAUAGAUGGGGCAAAAUACUUCAAUCAAUCAAUCAAUCAAUCAAAACUGCUCUGUAGUGCUUUGUGGUUCAACUAUGAGCAAGAAUACUGGAAUUCUCACAACAGAGCCUGCUUGCUGGUCUGGCCGGAAGCAGGAAGCACUGAAAACCACAUGGGAAAGCCUGGCUUUGCAAGAUUUCCAGGACAGUUUUUCAGGCACUUGAAGUUCAGAUAGUUGGGACAAGCAUCUCAGCUAAACCACUGAAAUUUUUGAGGUUUGCUCAUCUUUAAGUGAGACACAAACAAAUGAGGAAAUUAAUAAUUAAGGCCAACAUUCCAUCUUUCAUUCAUCCUGUUGUUCCAGGGUGUAUAAGUGCCUCAAACUAAAUAUAAGCAACAUUAUAUGAGUUAUUUAAAAAAAAGAAGACUUGCAUUGGGUUCAGCAGGAAUUAGAUUGGACUAUAUUGUGGUGCAAUGCCCAAGGACCAUGGGAUAAGAAAAAUAUGGAGUGUCAGCCUGGGGUUUGAAUUUAUUUUGUUGUAUCCCAAGCAGUACCUGAAACCUAGUGUUUUACAUGUUAACAAUACAUUUGUUACAGCUGUCUUGUGGAAUGCUUAAUU